AUACGUAGGGUGCUAGCGUUAAUCGGAAUUACUGGGCGUAAAGCGUGCGCAGGUGGUUUUGUAAGUCAGAUGUGAAAUCCCCGGGCUUAACCUGGGAACUGCGUUUGAAACUGCAAGGCUAGAGUGUGGCAGAGGGGGGUGGAAUUCCGCGUGUAGCAGUGAAAUGCGUAGAGAUGUGGAGGAACACCAAUGGCGAAGGCAGCCCCCUGGGUCAACACUGACGCUCAGGCACGAAAGCAUGGGGAGCAAACAGGAUUAGAAACCCCAGUAGUCC
rnacentral:rRNA from 1 species